UACGUAGGGUGCAAGCGUUAAUCGGAAUUACUGGGCGUAAAGCGUGCGCAGGCGGUUUUGUAAGUCUGUCGUGAAAUCCCCGGGCUCAACCUGGGAACUGCAUUUGUGACUGUAGAGCUGGAGUGCGGCAGAGGGGGAUGGAAUUCCGCGUGUAGCAGUGAAAUGCGUAGAGAUGUGGAGGAACACCGAUGGCGAAGGCAGCCCCCUGGGCUAGCACUGACGCUCAUGCACAAAAGCGUGGGGAGCAAACAGG
rnacentral:rRNA from 1 species